rnacentral:rRNA from 14 species
AGAAAGCGUAAUAGCUCACUGGUCGAGUCGGUCCGCGCGGAAGAUGUAACGGGGCUAAGCGAUGUACCGAAGCUGCGGGUGCAUAGCAAUAUGCGCGGUAGAGGAGCGUUCCGUAAGCCUGCGAAGGUGACUCGUAAGGGUUGCUGGAGGUAUCGGAAGUGCGAAUGCUGACAUGAGUAACGAUAAUGCAGGUGAAAAACCUGCACGCCGUAAGCCCAAGGUUUCCUGCGCAACGAUUUUCGGCGCAGGGUAAGUCGGAUCCUAAGGCGAGGCCGAAAGGCGUAGUCGAUGGGAACCACGUUAAUAUUCGUGGGCCAAGGGAUGAGUGACGGAUUUCGAAAGUUGUAUUCCCUUAUUGGAUUGGGAAUGCAGCCUGGAAGUUCCUGGAAAUAGCCUCCCUAUUAGACCGUACCCGAAACCGACACAGGUGGUCAGGUAGAGCAUACCAAGGCGCUUGAGAGAACUCGGCUGAAGGAACUAGGCAAAAUAGUACCGUAACUUCGGGAGAAGGUACGCUCUUU